rnacentral:rRNA from 1 species
GAUGAACGCUGGCGGCGUGCCUAAUACAUGCAAGUCGAGCGAACAGACGAGGAGCUUGCUCCUCUGACGUUAGCGGCGGACGGGUGAGUAACACGUGGAUAACCUACCUAUAAGACUGGGAUAACUUCGGGAAACCGGAGCUAAUACCGGAGAAUAUAUUGAACCGCAUGGUUCAAUAGUGAAAGACGGUUUUGCUGUCACUUAUAGAUGGAUCCGCGCCGCAUUAGCUAGUUGGUAAGGUAACGGCUUACCAAGGCAACGAUGCGUAGCCGACCUGAGAGGGUGAUCGGCCACACUGGAGCUGAGACACGGUCCAGACUCCUACGGGAGGCAGCAGUAGGGAAUCUUCCGCAAUGGGCGAAAGCUUGACGGAGCAACGCCGCGUGAGUGAUGAAGGUCUUCGGAUCGUAAAACUCUGUUAUUAGGGAAGAACAAAUUUGUAAGUAACUAUGCACGUCUUGACGGUAACUAAUCAGAAAGCCACGGCUAACUACGUG